UACAGAGGUCUCAAGCGUUGUUCGGAUUCAUUGGGCGUAAAGGGUGCGUAGGCGGCGCGGUAAGUCGGGUGUGAAAUCUCGGAGCUUAACUCCGAAACUGCAUUCGAUACUGCCGUGCUUGAGGACUGGAGAGGAGACUGGAAUUUACGGUGUAGCGGUGAAAUGCGUAGAUAUCGGGAGGAACACCUGCGGUGUAGACGGCUAUCUGGACGACCACUGACGCUGAGACACGAAAGCGUGGGUAGCAAACAGG
rnacentral:rRNA from 1 species